rnacentral:rRNA from 1 species
UACGUAGGGUGCGAGCGUUAAUCGGAAUUACUGGGCGUAAAGCGUGCGCAGGCGGUUGUGCAAGACCGAUGUGAAAUCCCCGGGCUUAACCUGGGAACUGCUUUCAAAACUGCUGAGCUAGAGUACGGUAGAGGGUGGUGGAAUUUCCUGUGUAGCGGUGAAAUGCGUAGAUAUGCGGAGGAACACCAAUGGCGAAGGCAAUCCCCUGGGCCUGUACUGACGCUCAUGCACGAAAGCGUGGGGAGCAAACAGG